rnacentral:sRNA from 1 species
CACGGCUCUGCUUGCUGCUCCCACCUGCUCCAGUUUAAAACCUGCGGUUCCAGGGUUCUCCAGCCCCUCCCUUUCUCACGCUCCGAAGCCGAGAAGGCCCAAAGCGAAGACAGAGAGGACCCGGAAGUAGGGAAAACCUCUGAGCACGUGAUGGGGGAACACGCGGGUGCUGUCACGUGAUCCGACAAACGGCCUCUGCAUAGUGCAGAACAUUCUGCUGCUCUUAAAGACCCUCAUCCCUCCCGUGGGAGCCCCCUUUGGACACUCUAUGACCCUGGACCCUCGGGGGACCUGAACUUGAUGCGAUGGGAGGCUGUGCAGGCUCGCGGCGGCGCUUUUCGGAUUCCGAGGGUGAGUAUUCCCGCCCACCCUCAUGGAACGACCACCUCUGGCUCGCAGCCCACCUGAGGGGAAUGAGAGCUGACUCGGCCCCGGGAGGACACGCAUGGAGCGGUCGUGCACCUGAGAGUAGGUGGGGGUCAUGCCCUCUUCUCGCUCUCCCAGGGGAGGAGACCGUCCCGGAGCCCCGGCUCCCUCUGUUGGACCAUCAGGGCGCGCAUUGGAAGAACGCGGUGGGCUUCUGGCUGCUGGGCCUUUGCAACAACUUCUCUUAUGUGGUGAUGCUGAGUGCUGCCCACGACAUCCUUAGCCACAAGAGGACAUCGGGAAACCAGAGCCAUGUGGACCCAGGCCCAACGCCGAUGCCCCACAACAGCUCAUCACGAUUUGACUGCAACUCUGUCUCUACGGCUGCUGUGCUCCUGGCGGACAUCCUCCCCACACUCGUCAUCAAAUUGUUGGCUCCUCUUGGCCUUCACCUGCUGCCCUACAGCCCCCGGGUUCUCGUCAGUGGGAUUUGUGCUGCUGGAAGCUUCGUCCUGGUUGCCUUUUCUCAUUCUGUGGGGACCAGCCUGUGUGGUGUGGUCUUCGCUAGCAUCUCAUCAGGCCUUGGGGAGGUCACCUUCCUCUCCCUCACUGCCUUCUACCCCAGGGCCGUGAUCUCCUGGUGGUCCUCAGGGACUGGGGGAGCUGGGCUGCUGGGGGCCCUGUCCUACCUGGGCCUCACCCAGGCCGGCCUCUCCCCUCAGCAGACCCUGCUGUCCAUGCUGGGUAUCCCUGCCCUGCUGCUGGCCAGCUAUUUCUUGUUGCUCACAUCUCCUGAGGCCCAGGACCCUGGAGGGGAAGAAGAGGCAGAGAGCGCAGCCCGGCAGCCCCUCAUAAGAACCGAGGCCCCGGAGUCGAAGCCAGGCUCCAGCUCCAGCCUCUCCCUUCGGGAAAGGUGGACAGUGUUCAAGGUUCGGAUGAUGGCUGGGGUAUGUCCCUGUGGGGCUUGCUCACCUCCAGGCCCCCCGCUUAUAUCUUCUGCCUUUUCCAGGGUCUGCUGUGGUACAUUGUUCCCUUGGUCGUAG